AGCGAACGCUGGCGGCAGGCUUAACACAUGCAAGUCGAGCGGGCGUAGCAAUACGUCAGCGGCAGACGGGUGAGUAACGCGUGGGAACAUACCUUUUGGUUCGGAACAACACAGGGAAACUUGUGCUAAUACCGGAUAAGCCCUUACGGGGAAAGAUUUAUCGCCGAAAGAUUGGCCCGCGUCUGAUUAGCUAGUUGGUGAGGUAACGGCUCACCAAGGCGACGAUCAGUAGCNGGUCUGAGAGGAUGAUCAGCCACAUUGGGACUGAGACACGGCCCAAACUCCUACGGGAGGCAGCAGUGGGGAAUAUUGGACAAUGGGCGAAAGCCUGAUCCAGCCAUGCCGCGUGAGUGAUGAAGGCCCUAGGGUUGUAAAGCUCUUUUGUGCGGGAAGAUAAUGACGGUACCGCAAGAAUAAGCCCCGGCUAACUUCGUGCCAGCCGCCGCUGUAAG
rnacentral:rRNA from 1 species